rnacentral:rRNA from 1 species
UGGGGAAUUUUGGACAAUGGGCGCAAGCCUGAUCCAGCCAUGCCGCGUGUGUGAAGAAGGCCUUCGGGUUGUAAACCACUGUCAGAGGGGAUGAAAUGCAGGUGGGUUCUCCCAUCUGUUUGACAUAGCCUCAGAGGAAGGACGGGCUAAGUUCGUGCCAGCAGCCGCGGUAAGACGAACCGUCCAAACGUUAUUCGGAAUUACUGGGCUUAAAGGGUGCGUGGGCGGCGCGGAAAGUUGGGUGUGAAAUCCCUCGGCUCAACCGAGGAACUGCGCCCAAUACUACCGUGCUUGAGGGAGAUAGAGGUGAGCGGAACUUAGGGUGGAGCGGUGAAAUGCGUUGAUAUCCUAAGGAACACCGGUGGCGAAAGCGGCUCACUGGAUCUCUUCUGACGCUGAGGCACGAAAGCUAGGGUAGCGAACGGGAUUAGAUACCCUGGUAGUCCCUGAGCGGGCUGGCAAGGCGCAU